AUGUGACGUGAGAGCGCGGUGCCAUCGUCGCGGGGACCUGCGCGCCAGGUGCGUCGCCCGCCGGCAGCGUCGCGCUCCGGGUCCCGGCCCGGCCCAGUCAGUCUGUGCGUGCGUGUUUCAUCCGAGAGGUGUCGAUGUGCUCAUCACAUGGGUAAGAAGGCUAAGAAGAGGUGGCGCACGGUUCCGAUCGAACUCUGUAGUUUUAAACCCGUUGGUAGAAAAGAUAACAAUGAGACUGAACCGAUUAAGGAUAAAUUCACACCACCACCACCCGCACCGAAAUUUAACGAAGACGAGUAUACGAAAAUCAGCACCCCACGGCAGGACGUGUUGUUCAAGAAGGGUUACCUGGGACGACGAAGGGUACAGAACGUUGGACCGGAAGCGCCCGUACAGGAGCAUCACAGUCAAGACUCUAUGAAGAGUGAUUACUAUGUGAAUGACAGUAUAGACCCCGCCCACAUGAUCUUACCUCCACCAGCCUAUAUUGACCCCGUUUACUUUCUUAAUGGUAGCGGAUACGAGGUGUAUGAUCCUUACACGGGGAGUGUAACGGUGGUGGUGGGACCCCCCGCUCCUCCAUUCCCGCCCGGUGGGCACCCCUACCUCACGCCCAUCCCUUACCAACAUGUGCCCAUGCAACCACCCUUAGAAUGGUUUAGUCCGCAGGCUCCACCCCAGCAGUGGGCCCAACCUUCAUCCUAUAACUAUAGAAAACGGUUUUCCUUCGAUUCACAGAAUUGCAGUGCACAAAGCUCGGAAUCUACGGGGCCCCCGAGCAGUCCUCAGGAAACGGAGCUUAUCGAUGAUUCCGGCAUGGCUAGUCAGUACCAAUAUUCCGGUUACAUGUAUCCUCCGUAUCACAUCAACGAUGUGACUGGGCAGACACAAUUCGUUGAUGCUGCGUGUCAUCCGGAGACGAGCUUCAAGCGCCGCAAGCAAUUGAGGAAACGCAGGAGGCGAGAAGGGAUUGCGGACGGCGGCUCGGAAUCUAGUUGCGAGGACCACUGCUACCAGUCAGGCGCCAGCGUCGAGCUGACCAACGACUCGAAGACCGCCUCCGACUCGGGCGUCAACACGCACAACAGCGGCGGCUCCACCCCCGUCAACAGCCUCCCACCGUACCCGUCCUCGGAGCUGGUCAGCGGCUUCGACAAGCUCGGCUCCUCGUCGCCCACCCCGACGACCCCGAGACCCCCGCCCCCACCCCCGAGGCCCAAGCCCCCAGCCCACCACCAGCGCCCCCCAGCCCCGAUGUCUCCGCCACCCACCUCCAUGUUCCUGUUGAAGACGUGACGAGUAGCAUUUCGACCGCUCAAAGUGUGGACACGCCCGACCCCAGCGGCGGGGCCACGUCGGAGGGCGCCACGCUCGCUGUCCUCGACGCGGUGAACGACAAUAAGGAGAAUUGUGAUGUUAAUAUAUGCUCAAAGCAGGAAGCCCCUAGUUGUAAUUCUAAGAUAUUAUCCAAGUCCAAUCUGAGCGUUGUUGAGAGCAACAGUAUUCGCACGUGUGAGAGCGCGCCUCCCGCCGACGACCAGACAAAUUCGAAAGUAGAGAAGGGCGCCAAUAAGCAGAGCAAGGCGAAAACCGCCACGCCCAGCCCGAAAAACUCGAAGAAAUCCAAAUCUAAAUCUAAAUCGAAAACUCAGCAAGCGCCCGGCUCGAAACAAUCCAAGAAUAACCAUCCGGAAGAGCCUGAGGUUGAGAAUGCCAGCGCUGAGACCAACGAGCGAACCUCGACACCAACGUCGAAGACCAGCAAGAAGCUGAAGAAGGGCCAGGAGAGGAAGUCCAAAGAGAGCAUCACCCCCGAUAAGCAAGUCGUCGAUGUGAACAAAGAGUCCGAGUCGAAGCAAGAUAAGGAAAAGAGUCCUCGCCCAGAUUGUGAGCUCAACGGUAAAGACACCGAUAUCAAAUUGGAGAUAGAAGAUACAGGUGCUGACAAAAAUGUGAUCGAAGCCAUUUCUGAGUUUCACCCAUCUGAGAGUCAGUGUUGUCUAAGCGAGGUCUCAGUUGUCGAUAAUGUAGAGCCCAAAACAGAGAUAGAAUUCUGCGUUGAUGUUGCCGGUUCUGAGAAUGAAGUCUCGCCGAGCGAGAAGGCUCCGGAUGUGCCCGAUAGUAGAGUAGAGGUCGGAGGCUGUGAAGAGGGCGCUAUGGAGCCGAAAGCGCCCAACGCUGCUCCCACGGACGAGCAGCGGUUCCUGGCGACGUUCGUCAAUCUGGAGGAGAUAGGCGAGACAGUCGACGGCGAGGAAGUCGGGAUCUCGAGAUUCUCCUCCUGUCGGGACGUCGAGCCCAAGAGACCGCCCAGACGCAAGAAGAGCGAGAAGCGACUCGCCGAGAAUGUCGCCUCCCAGGUCCUCGAUGAGAUCCUGGCGGAGGCCGCCGAGAAAGUGUCGGAGGUGCAGAACACACCCCCGGGGAAGAUCACGGAAGCGGUAAGCAAGUGGCUUACCGAAAACGGUGGCGUCCUGCCGCCGUUACCGCAGAGUCAAGAUGACGACUGGGAGGAAGAAGAUGAGGAACUAGAAGAGGAAUCAAUAGCGACCGAUCAAAAAAACUCGGAAAGCAACCCUUUUCCUGCGUCAUUGCCUGAGCAUGACGGGUCCCCCGAAGGGGGCGGGAAAAGGGUUGCUAACCCGAAAAUCGGUGCCGAAUCUGACGACGAGACAGUCACUAUCGAUGAGAAAUCUAAGCUACUGGAACUAGGCGACGACAGCAGCUGCAGCCUCCGGAACAGGUUGGGCGAGAAACCGCCUGGGGAUGCUGCACCGGAUCAAACUGAUACUUCCAAUCAUGAAAACAAGACUGAUCUUAAAGUACAUCAUUCUUCUUCUUUCCCUUGUGGUAUUUGUUGUAAUAUUCUUUGAUACUUACAAAUUUUUAUAUAUGCUUUCCUUUUAAUACCUAUCCUUUCAUUCGAAGUGCACUUUUUUUCGUUUUUUAUACAAAAGCCGAGCAGCUUUGUAACUUUUAAACCAGAUUGUUUCCUUUUUACUUAAUUGUUAAGGAUGUUUAUUUUAGGGACCUCAAGUUGUUGACCCCUCAUUUGAUUAAGCUAAGAUGAUUUUUUCUCAAGUUGAAAUGUUGUUUGUUGUUUAUUUUCCCAGCGGCGCAAACCUGUGAAUCUUGUGAUGAGUUCUUUAAUUCUAUCCUCUUGAAGUGUACCGUAAAGUACCAUGCAGGGUAUCUUUAUUUACUUUUUUCAUUUAAAAAUAAACUAUGUCCUAAGCUGCGUCAUAAUUCCUUCAGCCCUAGCUUUCUUUAAAUCCUAUCAUUGACAUUUUCAAGUAAAUUUAAUGUCAUUUUUAGUAAUGUGCAUUUUUUUAAAAAUGCCUUUUUAUUUUAAUAGGAGAAGACAGAGGUAAAUAUUGUCUGAUUUUUUUUCAAACGCUGGUUCACGAGAACGGAAAUCGAACGCAUUGAAGUGCUUUGGCUACUGGAGGUUAUCUGGGGUUUUGAUUUUAUUUCAUGAAUUUAUCUGUUUGUUGAAAGGAUGUACAUUACAAGUAACCACUUUAUUUUUUCUAGAGAGUAUCACUUUUUAGUUUGAAUCUCUGACUCCUGAAAGUAAAAACUUUCGUUUUAACCAUGAAUAUAUUCGCUUUCGUGUCUUGUUCUUUUUUUGGUUUAUCGUUAGCCAACUACAUAAGUUUAAUCUAACUUAAAAUAAAGGCAAUUGAGGGAUCCAAACAUUUGAAUCUCACCCACCUAUUUUUUCAGGGGUGGAAGAAAAAGGUAUGUAGGAGAGAGGGGUCCAGGUUUUAGAAAAGGUGCUCUAGUCUUGUAAUAGGUGAUUUACAAGAACUGUUACUUAAGCAAUACUUUAUUGUGAUAACUAUUGUUUGACGUAGUUUAAACUGUUGAGCAAGUCACAGAACUUAAGAACUAUGGUCUUUGAAUCCGGCAUGACUUUUUCAGAUGGUAAAUACUAUAACUCCAGGCGUAAAGUUACCGAAUACCCUCAUGCCAGGAUUUGGCUCUUUCUUUCAUUUUGAAAUUAUCAUUUGACUCAUGUCCUCAAGCUGCCCUCGUUCAGAGAUCAUAAUCGUUCAAAGUCCUGACUGCUCAUGCAAGGAUUUCGAUGAAUGGUACAUGCAUCAAGCAGUCGUCACAAAUUUGAUACAUAGACUUAUCGCUGACAUAAGCAAAGAGAACAUUCGUCGUUUCAUAUCCCAUGUACAUGUAGUUGGCAUUAAAUUGCAGUAAGAGUGAAAAAAUCCGCUCCACGCAAGUUUUAUCCACUACAUAUUGUCUGAUAAAAAUCAUAAACUACACAGUUUUGCAAUGAUAGCCAUGGAAUAAGUCUUGGUGAUUACUUUAAAAGGUGGCUUUGAAUUGAAUUGAAAUGAAUUUGAAAAUUACUAAAGAAUACGACAGGUGGUCAAAGCUUGCUCUAAACUAGUUUUUUUGACAUAUUGCGGAGUAGAUAUCUACACCUUGAUUUAAAGUUUUUCUUCAAGCUAACCACAAAUUUACCACUGAGCAUAAUGUAAGACAUUACACAUUUGCCUUUUGUUUUGAUUUGCUGCUUAGGGAGUAUCAGUGCCUGAAUUUUAAAUUUGUAAUUUCUUUUUAGCGCUUCGAUCGAACUUACAAAUUCCUCUCAUAAUUCAAUUUUAUUUCUUUUUCCUUUUUGCCUGCACUAAGAGCCAUUCUUUUAUCUAUGGGAUUUUCUACAAAUUUAGACUUCGCUAUACUUGCUCACAUCCCUCUCUUAUCAUUUCAUGACCAGCUUUAUUAUAACUGCAUGAUGCCAUGAGAAAAAAAAAGUUUGGUCAAUAUAAAGCCCAUUAUAAGUUCAACAUGAAAAUGCAAAAGGAAAAAUUAUAAAAAAUAGAUCUGAAAACUUCCAAUUCUAUUGUUUCUAUACUUGUCUCGAAAGAAAAUAAUCCUUCAACAAACUAAUUACUUUUUUUCUGCACUCAACUUAUUUACCCUGUCUUUUCUCGUCUCUCCUGUUUGUCUGUUCUCUUUUUCAAAAUUAGUUUGUGAAGUGACUUAUGAAUCAAAACUUUUCUUUGCUAAUCAAAAUAAUAUCAGUUUGAUCAAACAAAGUAUUGAUAAUGGUAAUGGCAUUAUUAAUGAAUCAUUGACACGAACAAAGGAAAUAAACAAUAAGAAAUAAUAAUGACUUGCUGUGAUAGGAUUUGUUUUGAAAGAAGUGCAACGUGCAACCGUUGAUUUUAUUAAAUUUUACCUGUAAAUAAA
rnacentral:lncRNA from 1 species